rnacentral:lncRNA from 1 species
GACUCCUACACUUUGGGAAUACACAUGAUUUUCCUUGUUACUAGGGAGGUACUACUUCAAAGGACCACCCUUUGAAGGUAUGUUGAGCAGGAAAUAAAGAUAUAUUUGAUGAGUGGCCUUUGAAUAUUGUUUGUUCCCUAUUUUCGAAGGAGCCUGGAAAGAAAAUCUACUAUAGGGGUCCUCCAAAAUAAGUCACUGCUAUGAUUCAUUAGGUGACAUUUCAGCAGCCCCACUGGAGACAACAGUGGGUGAUCCUGCAAAGGAAAAGCACCUGUUUUGAAAUGUAAACUGCCUGUGAAGCCUUCCAAAUGGGAAGCUGGACUCUCUAGCCACUGAGUUCCCCUUAGGUUCUGGUCUGUCCUGAUUUUAAACCAGAUUUUAGAGGUGGGGGCAGGGACAGGGACAUGCGUGCGCUACAGAGCAAGAACAAGCCUCUGCCCUGUCUUCCCCUGAAGUUGGUCCACAUUACACAGCCACAUCCUGCAACUCUUGGGGUAAGUCCACGGCCACCCUGCUUAACAUCCAUGUGCUUAAGAACCUGGGAACAGGAGUUCCCAUUGUGGUGCAGCGGAAACGAAUCUGACUAGAAACCAUGAGGUUGCGGGUUCGAUCCCUGGCCUCACUCAGUGGGUCAAGGAUCCAGCGUUGCCAUGAGCUGUGGUGCAGGCCAAAGACACAGCUUGGAUCUGGCAUGGCUGUGGCGUAGACUGGAGGCUACAGCUCCGAUUAGACCCAUAGCCUGGGAACCUCCAUAUGCCGUGGGUGUGGCCCCAAAAAGACAAAAAAAAAAAAAAAAAAAAAAAAAAAAAAGAAGAAGAAGCUGGGAAGAGAGUGACUCAUACACUGAACCCAGGUGCUUCACAAGUGUCAGGAAGCAUGAGGGGGUGCGUGUCCACAUGAGGGGCCCUGCUGGUGCAUCAGAGGCCACGAUGGCCAGGCUGGAAGAAACAGACACUCCAUUUAACUCAGUGGUUCUUGAACUUGGCCAGGUUUCAGAAUCAGCCAGAGUUUCUCAUUCCAUAGGUCUCAGGCCCUGCAUUUCUAACAAAUUUUCAGAUAACGAUGCUGGUGCCACAAGCAGACCAUGUGGACCAUCAGCCUGUUCCUUCACGGCUGUCCUACGCAGGGUGAGGGGCAGGAGGCUCGCUGUACCCCAAGUGAUUGGUGGCAACGUGCCACCGUCUUUACAUGGCCUAUUGUACGAUCUGCACAGGGAUGUGACAAGGAGACUCAUGAUUUGCUUCUGUGGGGUGGUUUUUUUUUUUUUUUUUUUUUUUUUUUUUUUNAUGGAAGUUCCCAGGCUAGGGGUUGAAUCCAAGCUGCAGCUGCCUGCCUAUGCCACAGCCAUAUAAUGUGAGAUCCAAGCUGUGUCUGCGACCUAUGCCACAGCUCAUGGCAACACCGGAUCCUUAACCCACUGACUGAGGCCAGCGACUAAACCCGAAUCCUCGUGGAUACUAGUCAGGUUCAUAACCCGCUGAGCUACAACGAGAACUCCCACGAUUUGUUUCUUUAUGGAGCUCCUUCAUGAAUGCCCUGCUGCCAACAAAGUGAAUGGCUAUUUAAUCACUAAAAUAAGUUUCUGAAGAUGGAAAAUGUGAUGAGAAAGAUCAAUGCUAUCAGAAGAAGCACAUGGGCUCCUGGAGGUGACCGCUUUAAAAGCCAACAAAGGUAUAUACCUUCUUAAGAUCAUUCCAAUUCCUUCAAAGCCUCAGCAUCUAUACACAUUUUUCACCGGCCUGGCCACCAUCUCCUCAGCAAUCAAUCU